GAUGAACGCUGGCGGCGUGCCUAAUACAUGCAAGUCGAGCGAACGGACGAGAAGCUUGCUUCUCUGAUGUUAGCGGCGGACGGGUGAGUAACACGUGGAUAACCUACCUAUAAGACUGGGAUAACUUCGGGAAACCGGAGCUAAUACCGGAUAAUAUUUUGAAACGCAUGGUUCAAAAGUGAAAGACGGUCUUGCUGUCACUUAUAGAUGGAUCCGCGCUGCAUUAGCUAGUUGGUAAGGUAACGGCUUACAAAGGCAACGAUGCAUAGCCGACCUGAGAGGGUGAUCGGCCACACUGGAACUGAGCCACGGUCCAGACUCCUACGGGAGGCAGCAGUAGGGAAUCUUCCGCAAUGGGCGAAAGCCUGACGGAGCAACGCCGCGUGAGUGAUGAAGGUCUUCGGAUCGUAAAACUCUGUUAUUAGGGAAGAACAUAUGUGUAAGUAACUGUGCACAUCUUGACGGUACCUAAUCAGAAAGCCACGGCUAACUACGUG
rnacentral:rRNA from 1 species